CAGAUUUUUGUCAGUCUGGCGAGGCUUCUGAUGUCAUCGUACUUCAAAGGUUUUAUUGCUUCUCACAGGGAAGCAACCCUCAAGCUGCUAAGAUUUGUUUGUGUUGCAAGAAUGCUGAGCACCAUAAUAAAACGGGCCCAGGAUCGGUAGAGGAGAAAGAAGAUGGCUUAGCGUGAUCGCAUAACCUCUACCAAUGGUCGCAAAACCUCUGCCACUGCUCUGCGCUCUGAACUGUAACAAGCCCUCCUCUGACGCCUUCAUGCUCUUCCUGAAAGAACAGAGUAUGAACUUAACCCAAACAUUACUCCAGAGCUCCUUACUGCAUCCAUACAGAGUUUUUGGGGCACCUGCAGAUGCCCCAAAUUUGUUUUAUAUCCAGUGGAAUUUCUUCCCUGAUAAGCUGACUUGCCAUCACAGAAUCAUAGAACAAUUCAGGUUGGAAAGGACCCCAUCUUCAAGGUAAGCUAAUAAUCUUAAAGGUACAAUUUUAAGUAUUGCAUUCAAAUAUUUGUUUUCUUCCCCAUUUUACACAGUUAGAGGCUUUCUACUGCUGUUAUAUAUGAUUGUUAUAUGUCUUGUUUGCAGUUCAUGGUUCUUUAUUUACACAUUGCACUUUGGAUGUUAAGUAAAAAUUUUUUAUCUGUAUCUGGGAGAACCUGGGUUAUGUAGGAUGUCUUUCU
rnacentral:lncRNA from 1 species